CUUUCCCUUGAAGACUAGGAUGUUGUAAACUUGCAGUGAGAAAUAUACCUGCUUAAUUAAAGGAAACCAUCCUUGACAAUUGGGAACAUCAUAAUUGAAAGACCCUGGAAAGGGAUCAUGAACACUGUUGGGAGUGUCCAUUCAACUGAAAUAUAAAAGUCAGAAGAAUUGAAGAUUGCAAUGGAUGCAACAGAAGUGACCUAAUAUGACCAAAUUGAUAUGAAUAGCCAGUUUUUCGCUUGCAGUAAUGACAAGAGUCGCCACAAAGAAAAGACCUUAAUGUGUAUUACACCUAAUGCAGCUUAUUUCCAAUCUGUGCUGGAUACAAAUCUAAUUUGGCAUUUGUGAACCAUUGUGGCAUUUUAGAGAAGUUGCAAGUUGGUGAUAUAUUCCUGGCGGACAAAGGAUUUUGUAUAUUUGACAAACUUCCAAAUGACAUGACACUUAAUAUCCCAUUCUUUCUUACAAAUAAAUCCCACUUCUCAAAAGAGGAUGCACAACUUUGCUUUAAAAUUUCCAGAUGCAGAAUCCAUGUUGGAUGGGAAAAUGAGAGAAUUUUUUUUUUUUAAAAUUCCUUAGCCAUAUUCUAUCAUAGUAUAGAUAUUGAUCUGACAAAAUAUUUCAGAUUUGUGUGGAUCAUGUGAAUUUGCAGGUUCCCCUUUUGAAGGAGAUUGCAGAUAAAUCCUACAAACUUAUUAGAUUAAUUGCAUGUAUAUAUAUACCUUAAAUCUGCACAUACCUGCCACAUUGAAUUUUUAAAGUUAAAAGUAAUGAAUACCAUAUAUGCAAUAUAACUUUUCUACAUAUUUAUAUAAAUAUAAAGCCUUUUAUAUUCAUAUGAAUAUAAAGCCCUUUGGAACGUCUCCAUCAGAAUGAAAUAUUCUCGAGAGGAACGUUAAACAAUAUACAAUCAAACAUAAAGCCUUUUGUUCUCAUUCUGAAGGUUUUCAAAUCUGCAUUAUUAAAAAAGAAGUAAAAUCCAUUGUUUUAGUAAAUGCAUGUAAUUGAAUGAUUUUUGUAAAGCUGGACACUGUGUCUAUACAUACAUGUAUUUUGGUUCAUCUGAAAUAAGAAAAACUCUGUCUAUAAAUGUUUAUUCAAUAAAUAUACAUGUAACUAGUUCUAAUUGUAACGGGGACCGUUACAGAUGUUCCCCAAACCUCCCCCAAUUAAAAAGUGAUGUCCUUGUGAAUCUAUAGGAAAAAAUCAUUUUAUUUUAGCCUUUAAUUACAUGUAGUACGUUCAAUAUGGUCAUUUCAGUACCAAGAAAUGAAAGAAAGCGUUGCACGUGCAUACACGCGCACGCGUGUAUGAUUCCGAAUUUUUGUUGAUGUCGUUCAACAGUCAUUUGUAUCAUAUACCCACAGUAUGAAUUUCAUAACGUUUCCACCAAAUAUAAGGAAGUUAUAGCGAUUUUAAAAUCGUCCAAUCAGAAAUCAGCACACGUGCAUGCACGUGCUGAGCAGUAAUUCUAACCACAGCAAUUUGUAAGGAGUACCAAGAUACAUCUAAACCCCUAAUAUGAAUAGAAUUUGAUGAAAAACAAAAACGUUAUCGUCCUUUAAAAAUUGAAUAUUUAAAAAACGUUGCACGCGCAUGCGCGUGUGCGUUGGCAUUUUUUGUUACACCAACAUAUAGAUACUCAUAUUGUCUACGUAUGCUGUGAAUAUCAUCUCAUUCGCUUCAUAAAUAAGAUAGUUACAAACGUUUUAGCAUUAUCCAAUCAAAAUGAAGCGCACGUGCAUGCGCAUGCAAAUUGGUAAUUUUGACCAUGUAAAUCAGUUAAGGGUCUCAAUAUCUACCUAUGAUAUGAAUUUCAAGCCAUUUCAAUGAACAACAAAAAAGUUAGACUGAUUCCAAAGUUAGCGUACAAAUUUUGUAAUGCGCGUGGUGCGCGUGCUGGCAAAAUAACUAUUAUUUUUCAUAUGUACAAAUGAUAUACUAUCAUCCUAUUUAGGUUUUAUAUCGCUUCCUUCAAUAUUCUGAUUUUCCAUUUUUUGUACCAAAAUUGCAAUGCACGUGCGCGCGCGUGCAUGCACGUGCAAACAAAAUGACUAUCACUAUGCACAUCUACAAACGCUAUACUAUCAUCCUGGAAAGUUUCAUAUCGAUCCCUUUUGUAGUUCCUGAGAACACUACCGGACAAAAAAGUACCGGAGAAAAAGAAUAAUAACUAGACACGAUCUCGUUGCGAGCAACGAGUAGGUCUUCCGUCCGAUUUGUUGAUGCACUCGGAGUUAAAAAAAAAAAAAGAAAAGACAAAUGAG